AACGAACGCUGGCGGCAUGCCUAACACAUGCAAGUCGAACGAGACCUUCGGGUCUAGUGGCGCACGGGUGCGUAACGCGUGGGAACCUGCCUUGAGGUUCGGAAUAACUCCCCGAAAGGGGUGCUAAUACCGGAUGAUGUCUUCGGACCAAAGAUUUAUCGCCUUUAGAUGGGCCCGCGUUGGAUUAGCUAGUUGGUGGGGUAAAGGCCUACCAAGGCGACGAUCCAUAGCUGGUCUGAGAGGAUGAUCAGCCACACUGGGACUGAGACACGGCCCAGACUCCUACGGGAGGCAGCAGUGGGGAAUAUUGGACAAUGGGCGAAAGCCUGAUCCAGCAAUGCCGCGUGAGUGAUGAAGGCCUUAGGGUUGUAAAGCUCUUUUACCCGGGAUGAUAAUGACAGUACCGGGAGAAUAAGCUCCGGCUAACUCCGUGCCAGCCGCCGCAGUAACAC
rnacentral:rRNA from 1 species